UCUAUCUUAAAAAUAUUUUAUGAUGUCAAAAGAGGAAAGUACAUACUUGUGUAAUAUUUAUAACCCAUUUGGUUCGACUUGAUCCUCUAAUGUGUUUCUUCUUAUGUCUUUCUUAAGAUACUGACAUGUCAUAGGUUGAACUCAGUAUACAAGCAUCAAUGGUUUGUUAUCAUUAAAAAAGGGAGAAUUUAUUGGGUUCAAGUAUGUCUUGGAGAUUGACAAAAUAGUGGAAAACAUAUAUGAAAUAGGUCGAUGCGACAUAAUCUUGCAGAAAGAAAAUUCAUAAAUAUACAAACUCAAGCAUAUCCAAGAUAUAAGUCCAUAAAAUCAAGCAUCCAAGCAAGAUGAGAGUACUUGUAAAGAAAGAAUUUUUAUGAACUGGGACAAAUCAAAUCUAGAUGAGGAAUCUCGAAACACACAGGCUCAAGCAUUCUAGCAAGAUAGAAGUCCUUAUCACGAAAGAAUUAUUGUUGGAGUCAGAUUGAUUUUGAUGAUUGAUAAAGCUGAGGAACAUAUGUAAGGAGCAAGUUGAUACUAUAUAUUCCUUUCAGUCCGAGUCUAACUAGUACAAGGUGAAGGUCAACCAAGUAAAGUUUGAAAUAAUAAAGGCAUAGAAGCACGUGAAUGGAGCAUGUAAAAGUUGGGAAUCCUGCUUGUAUGAAGUUCCCUUUAAUAGAGGAAUUCUAUAUGGCAAAGAGUCUUAAAAAGGUUGACAAAUAAAAUCCUAAAAGGAAAGGGAUUCCUUAUUAGGAGAGAAGUUUGCUUGCAGAAGGAGAAGUCUCACAACUAUAAAUAAAGAGAUGGUUUCACAAAGAACUUUGCAUACUUAUAGAGAGAAACAUGGAUGAACACAAUCAAAUUGAGCGAGUUCAUAUUUGAGAGAGUUCUGAUGAGUUUUGACUGAAGAUCCAUGUGAUGCUAGUACAAAGAGAUAGAUUGACGAACCUUUCCAUAGAAUUAGGCAUUACAGUUCAUGAGUCAAUUUUAUGAGUCAGUUUUGAUGUAUUAUUCUAUUGAGUUGUAAUUUAUUUCUUUCCUAAUCUUUUUUAGCAACAAUAUUGAGUUGAGUUAACUUCAAGUUGGGAUAACUUGAAGUAGGUUCAAUACUCAAAGGUGAUUACUGAGUUAUAGGAAAUUAUAGACGUUAUAAUUCAACUGUUGAGUUAUAGGUUUAUAAUUCGUUGUUAUUGAGGUAUAGGAAUUAGAGUUUAUAAUUCCAAGUUGUUGAGGAAUAGGAAUUAGAGUUACGUUAUAAUUCUCAGCUAUUGAGUUAUAGUUUUAUAAUGUUGGAAAUUGCUUAAGUUACUGCACUAGUUUUUAGCAAAAUAAGUUAGUUAAUUUAGGAUGAAUUUGAAUUUUGAAUUUAAGUUAGGUUGUUUGAUUUGUUGAGACAUUUUAGUUAGUUUAAAUUUUGAAUGUUGCUGGUAUUUCUAUUGUAAGGUGGCUAUUUAAAGCACCUUGAUGUUCAAUAAAAUCAUUGAAUACUAUUGAAAGCUAUUGAAAGUUAUUCAAUACAUUGAGAGUCAUUUUAACCCCCUUUUCGCUGCCCCAUCUUUCUUUAAAAAAACCAACAUAUAAUUCCUUGUUAUUGAGGUAUAGAAAUUAGAGUUUAUGAUUUCUAAGAUUACAAGCUUUAUAAUAGAAACUUUCGAAGGCUUAUUGUUUUAGAGGAGUUAGGUUAAAUCCUGUAGAAGUGUAGGUCGUGAUUGUUUAUCCCUUGUGAACCGUGGUUUCAUGAUAAAAUAUAAUGUUGUUAAAAUAUAAUGUUGUUACUUUAAGACACCAUACUUUCUACGUAAUCGCACCAGGUUCAACUAUGUGUUUCUUUAAGCUGGAAAAUUGCCAAGUCAAUUUUCCAAUUGCCUUUUCUUUGUAAGUGUGUGAGUGACUGUGCAAGUCACUCCCUCUAUUUAAACACAACUAUCCAAAAAUUCCUUCAUCAGAUGUGACUUCUAUCUCAAGUGAAACUCUCUACUCUUCGGUGUUUGUUGUGAAGUAGAAGUCCUUCUUGAAGUUGAUCUUCUUGUUGAAGUAGAACUUCUUCAACUCAACCUCUCUUAUCUUUAAGUGUUGUAAUCAAGCUUAUUCACUUCAUCUUCACACAUGAUAGUUAAGUAGAGUUUAUCACCUUCACCAUCUUAUCUACUUCAUUAAUCUUGUCUUUAUCCUGUCCUGCUGCUCCUUCAUCACAUUGCAGGUUUAUUAGCUUGCAGCUGAUGAUCCAGCUGACACAACAUGUUUCAUUCAUUUUAUCAUUCAUCAAAACUUCAACACUCUAACAAAUUCUGUCCUUUUUAUGAUGACAAACCUCUUUAUUUGUGCACCCAGUAUUGUUACCUGUAGAUACUUACUAUAAAAUCCACUUGAAUGAAACAUGUUAGUUGGGUUAUAAGCAUUGCAUAAUCCUGUUAUCUUCCCCUCCUUUUGCAUCAUUGAAAAGCUAAACACACACUUCAGAGCAAAAACUUAAGUUAAACUACUUAUGGCCACUUGGGCUAUCAGCAAGGCAAUAAAACAUAUCAAUUAAAAUAAAAGAGCAAUCACACUGAGCAGUACUAGAAGACAAUUAAGCAAACUAAAAUUCCAUUACUUUCAUUACCAAGAUAAAGGCAUCACACACUAAACAAAACUCCAAAAAAAUAAACAUCCCUGAGCAUAGGAGAACAAAAGCAAAAAAGAACUUAGGGUUCUAAGACAAUGACUAAUCAGACAGAUGGACCUGGCAGAAUUAGCUGAGUCAGCCUAUGAAUAAUAGCAGAACUGGUGGAUUUUUUUUUGGGCUAGUUCAUUCUACAAUUCAGCAAUCCUAACCCUAAGUGUAGCAGUCUCCUGAGAAUAGGCAAUCCUAAUAUCCUCCAGCUCUUUAAAUUUCUCUUUCAAAGCAUUUUGAGCCUGUUGAAGUAGAGUGUUUGCUCAUUUCAUUAACUCAGGAAGAGAGGAGUAAUGAACUCUGCCAAGGACAUCUUUGGUGGUUUGAAAUUCCCACAAAAGAAUUGGAAUAUUAUCCUCCUCAAAGAUUUGCCUAAGCCAAAACCCAUAUGCCAAGGAAUAACCAUGUUCAUCCUGAUGGAGCAUACGAUUUAUGUGUUUCAAAAUUAGCCUAGGGAGGUAAAUUUUAACCUCAAAAUCUAGUAGCUCUAUCAAAUUCAUAUCCACAUAAUUCACCUCAACUCUCUCCUCUUUUCUGUGUAGAAUGAUUUUAUGUACUACAUCAAAGUAGAGCUGAUGUAGUGGGGACAUUUCUUAAUUUUUUUACUGGACGAUUGUGAGAGAGAGUACGCUACUCUAAGAAUUUUCUAGUGAUUUCUAGGGUUGUGGGUAGGUUAUGGAGAAGAGGCCACUCAUACUUCAUAUAGUGACUCCAACCCUCAUAAGGAAUGUCUAAAAUAUGAGGCACAUCAUCAUAAAUAAGCUUAAUCUAAACCCCAAGCACAGAGGAAGAAAACACAAAACCAUAAAACCUUCCAUUUACACAGAAUUCAGUUAUCUCCUUCUUGGCUAACUUUUGUUGAAUGGUGCCUUAUAGGAAAAAUUCUCAAUACCCUUGAGCAAUAAUUUUGGUAAAAAGAAAAGACAUUUCUGGCCCUCUAAACCUAGAGACAACUCAUCCUCUCACCACUUUUUGCUUUUGAAAUUUGAUUACACAGUUAAGAUAAGAGGAAGUAGGCUUAGAAAGAGCAGUGAAGUGAGGGAGGGAAAGAUUGAGGAAUGGAUGAAACAGGUCAAGUGACCUAUUUUUUUGGAGUGCAAAGGGAGGGUUUGCAUUUUUCUAAAAUCUUUGGUACAGAGCGAGUAAUUUUCUUUUGAGGUAGGUUAGAGGAGGAUAAAGAUCUGGUGGAAAGAAAAGUGGAGGGUUUAGGUAUAAUGUCCUUCACUUUUUCUCCAUGAAUAACAUAACUAAGAAGUAAUCCAUCGUUAUUAUUAGAGAAGGCUGCUUCCAAAGAAGGAGAACCAACAGGCAUGGGGUGUUUUUUUUUUACUAGCCCUCAAAUUUUUCUCAAGAACAUUUUCCUCUUACCUUUUCCCUAUUAAGCGGGAGUUAUCUUAGGAACAAGUGUGCUUAUGGGUUCCUCAAGGAUCUCUUCCCCAGGCAUAAGAAAUGAGGCUCCAUAGAUUUUCUUAAUUCUGGAUUUGGACCUUUUUGGGUUUUGGUUAGACGUAGGAUGAGUUUUAGAUAUAUGGAUCUUAAUAGGAAUGAUAUCUUGAACUUGUUCCAAUCGAUGACGACUGAAUAAGUUAACCAGAGCUUUAAAUUCAUUCUAAACAACAAAAUCAAAUAGUUUAAAAGUUGGAACGAAUGGAGUUUGAGGAAGGGAAGAGAUGAAUGCAACAAGUUCCAGGGAAGGGGAUGGAGAAUGAGUUGAUUUUUUAUCAAUUUUAGAAGAGAACUGAGAAGAUGAAGAUGCCAUAGUAGUAGAGGUUUCUGGAAACUUGAGGUAAGAGUAAAGAAGUGAGAAAGAUUAGUGAUAGAAUGAGGAUUAAAUAAAAGAGAAAUUCAUAUGAAUGUAGGUGAAGUGGAAGAGUUUUACUAGGAUAGACUUAGUUGACUGAAGAUGGGAACUGAUUUGAUAGGCGGUGGCAAUUUUUUGUGUGGAAAUGAGAUUUUUCAAAAUUUUAGCAGUUAAGGAAUAUAAAGAGAGGCAUUUAAAAAAAGGACUAGAUAUGCUUAAGUGUUACAUCUCAAUUAGGAUUUAGGCUAGAUGUGUGAUAUAUACCUUUGGAUAAUGUCAGCAUGGAUUCUUAGUGUGCCUCAUUUCUAUCCUAAAAUUCACAUAGAUGAUCUACAAUAAUAAAAAUUGUUAGGAAUUGGACUUGAGACACAACUAAAUGUGCAAGAAUGAAUAGAUUAAUAAUUUUUCCAGUAAUAUUAAUGUAAAAGUAUUAUUCUAACCAAUCAUUGAGGGUGAUUUAUGCAAUUUUAGUCAUUCCCAAGUCUAGCCUGUUCUUUUCAAAGUGUUCCCUACUAAAGGCCUUGGUAAAAGUAUCUGCAAUUUGAUCUUCAGUAGAACAAAACAUUAAAGAGAUAAGACCUUUUUUACAUUUUCCCUAAGGAAAUAAUGUCUUAUAUUAAUGUGUUUAGUUUUUUUGUGUUGCACAAGAUUUUUAACAAUAUUGAUGGCACUAGUAUUAUCACAGAAAAUUGGAACACACCCAACAUCCAUACCAAAAUCCUUGAGUUGUUUCUUAAUCCACAACAAUUGAUUACAACAAGAUCCAUCAACAAUAUACUCAACUUUGACAGUUGUGAGACCCCGAGAAUCCCAAUCGAUAGUAGAACCAUGCUUCAAACUCAUGAGAAAUAAAUUUUUAGUGAUUUGAUAAUUUUAUGAUCUAGUUUGAUGUAUAUUAAGGCCUCAAGUACGUCCUAUCUAUUAGGCGAAUCAAAACAUCCCUUAUCGAUUGAAUUCUUGAGAAGGAUAUUGCCAUAGUCAACUUCAAAUGAGUAUACAUUUCAUUUUAUAAAGAAUUUUUCAUAUCAUGACCAACCAACAGAUAGAUAAUUUAAUUAUCUUUCCAACAAUACCAAUUUUGUCAAAAUCUGAUAUCGGAGUAAAAAGUUAUGGCCGUUUUACAGUGAGCUGUUCGGGCUGCCAAAGUGCGAUGGGAAGGGGUUGAAGGGUCGGUCCCUCCCCAGGGCGACGUUCGUCGCCCAAACCAUCGUGGACCUCCGUUUAGCGAUUUUAAGUCGUUUUUAAAAAGGAUUUUUGGGUCUUUUCCACCCUUUUUAACACCUAAUUGCAUCAAAUCAAAGCACAUAACUCCUCAUUCAUCCUCAACAUCAAAAUUAGGGUUUUUUUCAAGAUCAUUCCCCUAUAACAAGAUCCAAACCCUUCUUCAAGAAACUAAGAAAUUCAAGUUCUUCAAGUUCAAGAACCAUUAAGAAAACAUCAAGAUCUGUGUUUUCUCAAUCCAAGAACGUUCAAUAAACAUUAGUUGUCUUUUAAGAUUCAAGAUUUUGAGGUAUGUUAGAUAUUCAUUCAUGGGUCCCUUUCUCCCAUGAAGUCAAAGAAUCCGUUUUUAAAGCUUCAAGAAUUAUAAUUCUUCAUUUAGAUGUAUAAAAUUGGAUUGUGUUCAUGUUUUAAAAUUAUUUGAGUUUAAAUCCAUGAUUAUCGGUAGAUUCCACGAAGUUGAAUAGUACAUAUGUUGAAUUGAGUAAUACCCAUGUUAUAAUCCAUGAAUUUGCAAGAUUGAUCAUUGUAGUUGCCAUGAUUAUGUGUUAUCCACAACUUAGAUUACAAAUUCUAAGAUUUGAUCCUAGUAUGUUAUGAUUUGCAUGAUGUUCAUGAUAAACCACUUUAAGUUGCAAGUUUAUUGAUGUAGUCAUGAUAUUUAGGUGUAGUAAUUGUUGUACAACCAAAGCAUACUCCCCAUAUGUUUGAUAAAAUGCCUAUGUGAGUGAAAUAGUGCCAUUAUAGCAUGUUAAUAUGUAAAUCCUAUUCAUGUAUAAGUUGAUGCAUGCUAAGUGUUUGAUGAAAGACUUUAUUGAUUGAAUCAUGAGACAUUAGUAUGCAUUCCUAUUCAUGUGCAAGUGUAUGACUUUCAAGUGCUUGAAGAUAUGCCCCAUUUAUUGUAUUGUGAAUGAUAGAAUAUUGUCAUUUUGUUUAAGAAUCGUCAUGUUUUAUUCUUAUUUAUGCUAUUGAGUCCUGGGGGUAUUUAAUACCUGAUAAUUUAGUUGAUUGUCUAGAGCUAGUGUCAGUUUUUAAGAUAAUCCUAGUCGUAUUCUCAGUCAGUUACCGUAUUUGGUAGAACUCAGUCAGCUUCAUGACUUAGGAAAGUUAAGUAAUCUCAGUAACAUCCCAGUCCAAUUCAGUAAUCAAUUCAGAACUCAGUAGCAUUCAGUCAGCUAAUAGAACUCAGUAGUAUUUUGACAGUCAAUGGAACUCAGUGAACUCAGCUCAACUCAGAUAAUCAGUAUGAUCAGUAAAAGAUUCAGCUCAGUUUAGUACAACCUAAGAAUCAGAUCAGUGUCUAUUCAGUUGGGAGUAGAAUUUAGCACCGAGUGAGGGCAGGGAUGACGGCUUCCCUGUUAGUUAGGCAGAGUCGUUAGUAGCAGUUCCUGUACUCUAGAAUUGUAUAGCCAGUGCAGGAUGAGGAGUUAUUCAUUAUACUAAGGUUUGACUACCUCCCAGGAGUCACCCGUUAGAUUAGGCUUGGCUCCGGCCAGGUGUCACCCAUUAGAUUAGGCUUGGUAUCUUAGUCUUAGAAGUUGUCUUUACCCAUGGCACGGUACUGACACCUUUCCAGCUGGGGUUACAGGUUGGACCCUACUAGUUUAGAUUCGGGGCAUGUCGCUUAGAUGGCUACCUCCUACAGUUUUAGUCUUAGUCUUCAGAAGAAAAAUCAGAUCAGUAUUACAGAAAUCAGACUGUUAGAUACAGUCACUCAAACUUGUAAAGAACUUAGAUAGUUCCAUAGAUCCAGAGAUCACCCGGUAGAUAGGCUUGAUCUCAGAUACAGUUAAUCAUUUUCAUUAUUAAUAGAUUUAGAGAUCACCUGCUAGAUAGGCCUGAUCUCAGAUUUAUUUAAGCAGUAUCAAUAUUAGUAGAUUCUAGGAUCACCCGCUAGAUAGGCCUGAUCUCAAUGGUCACUCGUUAGAUAAGAUUAACCCCAUAACAGUUAUUAGUAAGCUCAGACUCAGUUAUUAGUAAUCCAGUUAUUAGAACUCAGUAUUCACUAUUACUACAAUUUUAGUUAUAGUUUAGGCAUUCAUGCAUCUAUUCUCAUUCAGUAGUCCUAUGUUAUUCAGUCAGUAUUGUUCAUGCAUGUGAACCUUUGCAUUCAUCCUUACCUCAUCUAGCGUACCAGUACAUUCCCAUAUACUGACACAUACUUUUCUUUUGCGCUAUGGUAUUUUAUACCAUAGGUUCAGAAGCACGAGUUCCAGAGCACCCUUAGUAGUUCAGAUCCAGCCAGCAACAGUAGACUUAGUAGUGAGUCUUCAUCAUACGAGGAUGAUCUUUAUUUUAUUAUUGCAUUAGAUUUAGCAUUUUAGUAGAUGGAGUUAGUUGGGAGAUUGUCCCAUCAACUCCCUAUUCAGAC
rnacentral:lncRNA from 1 species